UCAUUCUCCUUCCUGCUCCCUCCAUCCCCCCAUGUCGCCGCCCCUCUUCUCCCCGCUCGCCCCGGCCGCCUCUCCUCCCCCCUGCGUCGUCGGCCCCUCCCUUCUCCUCCCUCCUCUAGCCUCCAGCCCUGCUCGUCCCGAGCCUGCGCCCACUCCCCGUCGUUCUCCUCCCCGCUCCCUCCAUCCUCUCCCAUGUCGCCGCAGUCUCUCCGCCUCCUCCUCCCGUCACCACGUCCUCCGCCAUGGAGCCUCGCCGCCGCGUGCGUCUCCCUUCUCCACCAUGCUGCCCUUCCACCUCGCCUUCCUCUCCUUUCCUCGAGAUGCUGCUAUCCUGCUCGUCACAUUGACUGCCGGCAAUGGGAGGAGACCUGGGGGAGCAGAGGAGGGUGGUGGAUGACGGGGUGAGGAGGCACGAGGGUCAGCACGAGGUGGGGGUAAGAGGAUGCAGCUGCGCUGGCUUCUCUCCCCGCGCCACCACGCCGCUUGUUCUUCCUCCUAAGGUCCAGAUCUGAAGCGGGAGAGACGCGCGCAAAGUGGCAGAAGAGGGCUGCAUCAGUGGUGGUCCGAGCGCUGCUGCCUCCGUCCCUGGCUCCCCGAACAAUCCUCAUCGCAUGCAGCCGCCGACUGAGCUCCGCCUCCUCAAUCUGCAUCCCUCUUCAUCGCGCAUGGCAACAGGGCGAGGGUUGUGAUGGGAACACCAGGAUGACAGCGAGAAGUGGACCUCUGAGCUGGCUGCCGGUCCUCUCAGGCUUACCUUGUGGCAAAGGAUUUCGGAGCCAUGCCAGCUUAUGAUUUUGUUCUUCGUCACCCCAACCGCACAUGCGGUGUUAUGUGUUUGGGUAUCCGUUUUCUUCAUGGUGGCUCCUCCUUCGAUUUCUCCGUUGGCCGAUCUGAUUUGAUGCUGAUUAUGUCCAUGGCCUUGUUGUGGUAACACCAUGGUCCGUGGGGAACAAGAAUACCACCUCUGCUACAACCGAAGUUUGGACCUCCACUGACAAUGACAUCUCUAGGGGGUGAGAGGCGGAUAACAAUACGAGAAGGAGCAUGGCAUCGAGGAGUGCAAGCAGCGGCACUCCUCCGCAAUGGGGUAUGGCUGCAGGGGAGGGGACGCGACCAAUGACAGGAAGAAGGAGCAGGUCGUCGAGGACUACAAGCAGCAAGAUUAUUUUUGGCCCAUACAGUUUCCUUUGACUGGAAGUCUGAAACUGAAGAUAGGGCAUAUUGUUUUGGUUCUGACUGGCCGGAGAUAUUGUGGCUUGAUGUCCCUAGAGCAGUCGGACCCUUCCAAGAUAGCAGAAGAUCUUUGGGAUUGACGUUCUGAUGAGAAAGUAGCAUACGGAUGGAUGGACAUGAACUAUUCAGUGGUCGAACUGCGCUAUAUUUAUUUCAUUGAGGCGAGGGUGAUUCCAGUAGAUUUUGCUUGGCAUACUUGCCUUUUUUAUUGAAGUUGGGUGUCCGUCUUCUCCGCGGCAAGAUCUAUGCUGUCACGGCAACACAGGCCAAUACACAUUCAGGAAAUAUGUCACCAACUUCCCCAAGGUCCCGCAUCGUCUACUCAGGAUAUUCUGUGCCCCAAGCCCUACAGAAUAAUGCCCAAUUUCAGCAGUGGGCAUGACAUCCUCGAACUUCUCUCUUCAAUAUUGAAGAAGCGGCUUACUCAGAUCAAUAGGCAUGCACUUAGAAAAAUAGCUAAAGAGUACGAGAUAUUCCUAGAGUAAAUAAAGGGCAUGAUGUGCUCAUAAGUUAGACAGAAGCAAAAUGUCAUUUAUUAUGCUCCUAUUGUAUCCUCGGACAUUUUCUUCCACCUACCAAUACCCCAGUAUUGAAUAUCUACUUUCCCACCGUCGUACAAAAACUGAUGUUAGUAUUUGUGCAUACUCUUUGUCUUAAGUGGGCUUUCUUUUUAAAAA